ensembl:lncRNA
CCUGUACCUAAUGCCACACAGGAUGUUCCUUCUGGGUCCUCACUCAGGAGCACCUGCUCUCACCUGUCAUCUCUGCUAUCCUUUAGGGAAAGAUGUAGUCCUCUAUUUGCCUCUCGAACUGUUCUCAGAAGAUGGGGGAGGCACACGGCUGGAAGAGGAGAUGAGCCGCCUCAAAAAUCUCUGUUGGAAAUAUUUCAAGUUUUCAGUCUGGACCAGUUCCAGGGUCCAAGCAAAUCUACUGAGCAAGGAGCUCUGAGUUGCGUCAUUCAGGGUCCAAGCAGAGAGCAGAUGUUAUCCUUCAUUAAACAGGCUGAGUAAAGAGGUAUACACUGAAGACAGAUGCUGAUUUUUGACAAGAUAGCAUGAAGGUAAGGAUCCCACACAGCACUCCUGCCCAUGCAUUCCUGGGCAAUGGGGUUUCACAUGGACAGACAUGAAGACAAACAUCUGUACCCCAUGAAAUCCAUGCGAUACCAAGCCAG